UUGACUCAUAUUUUUCACGGAGGCUGAAAUUAGCAUGGGGGAAGCCAUGGCUAGGGUUUUCAAGCUUUCCAAGCUCAAUAUGCCGCAGAUGUUAGCUCGAGUUGGAGCUCGCCGGAGGUUAAAUCAGACUAUCAAACUAUUGAUCGAUAUAUAAAGGUUUUAAAGCAUGAUAUGGGCCUUGUAAGUUUUUUUUUUAAGGGACAACUUGAAUAUGUUUGAAAAGUUUAAAAUUUGAUGAAAUUUUAUGUCUAGGUUUUAAA